ACCACAUAAUGCAUUCUAAAAAUAGUGUCUUCCAAUUUUAUUCUGACACUAUUCUGACCGUACAAUUCCUACUAUUUAUUUCUCACCGCAAAAUCCCUUCCAAUUAUUUCUGACCGCAUAGUUUGUCUUCUAAUAAUAGAUCAUUUUCCACUAUAAAUAUGUCAACUCGUUACCGUAUCUAGUCACUUCAUCAUAUCUUUUGCUGGUUUUUGCUCCUUGUGCUCCUUGUAAGUUUUUGGUUUGUUCUUCAUCACUUCAUCAUGAUGCUUUUUUGUGAAUUAUAUAAUGUUGUUUCUGUAAGCACUCGUUUAUACUCAAUUAGUUAUAUGUGUGAAGUAUACCGACUCGUUUUCUAUGUGAAUGCAAUGCAUCAUAUAUACUGAUCAUUUGAAUUAGUUUUUGUAAGCACUCAUUUUCAAUCUCAAUAGAACUUACUAAUCAUUUGAACUAGUUUUGUGGGCAUUAUUUUGUGACGACACAUUGCUUUCUAUUUUUCUUCUGACCGCACGGUGCCAUCUAAAAAUAGAAUUCUCACCGCAUAGUGCCUUAUAAACUUCCCCACCACAUACCGCCUUCUAAAAUUAGAUCACCGCAUGGAAUUCUAUUUUUUCUUAUCACCGCACAGUGCCUUCUAUUUUUUCCUGACCGCAUAGAGACUUCUAAAAGUAGACAACUGUGUACUAAGUAUUUUUUUCUCACCACUUAGUUCCUUCUAUUUUAUUCUAACCGCAUAGAGCAUUCUAAAAAUAGAUGACAACAUGCCUUCUAAUUUUCUCUGACCGCAAAUUAUCAACUAAUAAUAGAUGACCGCGCAAUUUGUUCUAAAUUUUUUCUCACUGCAUAAUGCUUUCUAAUUUUUUCUGACCGCAUAGUAUCUUCUAAUAUCAGAGCAUUUUUUACUAUAAAUAUGUCUUUAAUAUGUUCCCUUUUUGCGUAGCCUUGUUUUGAAAAUUUCACUGGUACACUGAAGUUAUGGCUGUAAGUACUCCAGGCUCGAUAUGCUCGCAACCCAGAAACUUGUGCACCUGGCCUUCUAGAUAUUUGACAGAGUUUUCUGUCAAGAUGUUGCCAGAACAUUUCGAAGAAUAUUCUGUAUGUCUUUUUAAUAAAUGUUGUCAUAAUUUCAUUUCAUAAAUACUUUUGUUUUUUGUGUAAUUCUCUUAUUUGUUCUUAAAAAAAAAUAUGCAAAUUCUUCCUUGUUGUUACUAUGCAAGGAUUCAAUUUUUAUGCCCAUCAAAAAUCAUAAAAGCUGUAGGUAGACCAUCUCCCCACUUGGACGCACCUGCUGAUGACUUCACCACACAUCAUCUCUUAUUGGACUAUUGUGGUUCAUCUUUUCCAUACAAGGAUCAUAUUAUAGGUCCUUGUUAGAAGCAUUUCAUAUCACUACUGGAGAUACAAUCAAAUUUUCAUGGGAUGAAGAUAAAGACAUCUAUAAUGUCUCCGUUCUAUCCGGAAUAGAUGAGCCAAAAUAUUGGUUUGGAUUCCCUGGUAAUUUUAUUUGAAUUUUUUAUUUUAUUAAUUUUCAAUUCUUUUUCACUAUUAAUUAUAGAAGAAAAAAAUUAUAGAGUGCAAUAAUCUAUCCGCUGAUUGUGAGGAAACGUUCUAUAGUACUUAUUUCACGGAAGCAACGGAUGUUUCCCAACAAGAAAUGAACAUAAUUGUCACUCGCUAUAGGAAGUAUAUGAGGAGUCCGCAUUAUCAUAACCAUGCUCCUAGUUUCAUUAUUCACAGGCUUGAGAGUAAUGAAUACGCCAACUGGGUAGUUCCAUUCGAAGCUAUCAAAACUUAUGUUGUUCUACCAUGGAAGGGCGGUGCUUUUUAUGCAUGCAAUGAAUAUUCUGUUGAUGGAACUUACAAAGUAAGAGAUGAUCGCACUAUCAUUUUCCGCGAACACUGAUCUAAUUUACGGGUGGACAAUAGCAUAUUCUUUGGAGUCUUAUUCCUUGCCAAGGUGGUGGCAAAUAGAAAUUUCAUAGGAGUGGAUAUUUUAAUUAUUUAGGAAUACAAGGAUUUUUUUCUAUUUGUAAUAGUAGAUUUUUUCUCUACUUUUUUUUGUAAUAAUUUUAUCAUUUUUUUAGAUUUGUAUUUCAAGAAGACUAACCCCCAAAGUUGUUCCAACAUGUUGUUUGUCUUCUUGAAAUACAAAUCUAAAAAAAUGAUAAAUUAUUACAAAAAAAAGUAGAGAAAAAAUCUAAUAUUACAAAUGGAAAACAUCCUUGUCUUCCUAAAUAAUUAAAAUAUCCAAUCCUAUGAAAUUUCUAUUUGCCACCACCUUGGCAAUGAAUAAGUCUCAAAAGAUUAUGUUCUUGUCCACCCGUAAAUCAGACCAGUGUUCGCGGAAAAUGAUAGUGCCAUCAUCUCUUAUUUUGUAAGUUCCAUUGAUAGAAUAUUCAUUGCAUGCAUAAAAAGCAUCGCCCUUCCUUGGUAGAACAACAUUAGUUUUGAUAGCUUCGAAUGGAACUACCUACAAAAUCAAAAAUAAAAAACCUAGAAGAAAAAUUUAAAAAUAAGAAUGGUAACAACAAUUGUAAAAAGAAAACUAACGCAGUUCGCGUAUUCAUCACUCUCAAGCCUAUGAAUAAUGAAAUUAGGAGCACGGUUACGAUAAUGCGGACUCAUCAUAUACUUCCUAUGGCGAGUGACAAUUCUGAUCAUUUCUUGUUGGGAAACAUCUGUUGCUUCCGCGAAAUAAGUACAAUAGAACGCUUCCUCGCAAUCAACGGGUAGAUUAUUGCACUUUGUUAAACACAAUGUUGUAUAAUUAGUAGUGGAAAAAACAGAAAAAUUGAAAAUUAAUAAAAUAAAAAAUUCAAAUAAAAUUACUAGGGAAUCCGAACCAAAAUUUUGGCUCAUCUAUUCUGGAUAUAACGGAGACAUUAUAGAUGUCUUUAUCUUCAUCCCAUGAAAAUUUUAUUGUAUCUCCAGCAGUGAUAUGAAAUGUUUCUAACAAGGGCCUAUAAUAUGGUCCUUGUAUGGCAAAGUAUGAAUCACAAUCAUCCAUUAAGAGAUGAUGUGUGGUGAAGUCAUCAGCAGGAGUGUCCAAGUGGGGAGCUGGUCUACGUACAACUUUUAUGAUUUUUGAUGGGCAUAAAAAUUGAAUCCUUGCAUCGUAACAGCAAGGGAGAAUCUGCCUAGAUUUUUUUAAGAACAAAUAAGAGAAUUACACAAAAAAAACUAUUUAUGAAAUGAAAUUAUGACAACAUUUAUAAAAAAGACAUACAGAAUAUUCUUCGAAAUGUUCUGGCAACAUCUUGACAGAAAAUUCUGUCAAAUAUCUAGAAGGCCGGGUGCACAAGUUUCUGGGUUGCGAGCAUAUCAAGCAUGGAGUACUUGCAGCCAUAACUUCAGUGUAGUAGUGAAAUUUUCAAAGAAAGGC